rnacentral:rRNA from 1 species
UACGGAGGAUGCGAGCGUUAUCCGGAUUUAUUGGGUUUAAAGGGUGCGCAGGCGGUCUGUUAAGUCAGCGGUCAAAGCCCGGGGCUCAACCCCGGCCCGCCGUUGAAACUGGCAGUCUCGAGUUGGAGAGAAGUAUGCGGAAUGCGCGGUGUAGCGGUGAAAUGCAUAGAUAUCGCGCAGAACUCCGAUUGCGAAGGCAGCGUACCGGCAUCCAACUGACGCUGAGGCACGAAAGCGUGGGGAUCAAACAGG